rfam:Schistosoma rodhaini strain Burundi genome assembly, scaffold: SROB_scaffold0004110
GCACUGAAGAGGAGUCCCAUAAUAGGACGAAACGGCCGUUCAGUGU